rnacentral:lncRNA from 1 species
GGGGAGGGCUAUGUCCGUGCUCACAGCCCUGGCGUGGGAGGGUGACUGGCGAGAGGACAUGUGUUCAUGGUGCCUGUGUCCUUCAUAACUUGGGUCACAGCAGUUUCCAACAAGAAAGAGAACUGAAACAACCAGGGAAUUCCCUGGCAAGGAGAAGUCCUGCCCAGUCUGCAUCUUUCAGAAGCCAGGAGGAAUGCCCCAGGAACACUGAACUCCACUGUGUGGGAGCUUGAGGGGCCUGUGCUGCCCAUGCCGAGUGUCCACCAUCUCACACUGCUUCUAACACCUUCAAGCCAUCUCCUGAAUCUGGAAUAGUCAUCAUGAGCUGGAGGCUUCCUCAGAAGAACCCUAAAAUCAAGGGGGAUUCUGGUGCCAAGAAAAAUAGCCCAACCCAGCUUCACAGCUGUGAGCCUCCAAUGCGCCCCAGGAAGCUGCCAUCACCAUGGGUAGCGCGACCUGGCUUGAUUUUGCCAAAACAAAGGAAAAUUCCUCCAGCAAUUUCUGUGAAUUUGUUUUGCAAAACUGAAUUGUCUGCUUUUAAUUCCCCUAUACCAAUUAAAUAAAAAUUGGAAUUUAAAAUCCAGUGAAUGACAGAAACCUCACUUUGGAGUGGAUGACAGACCCCACGCAACCUGGGGUCUGGGGUAGAGAAGUGAGAUGCUGGGAACUUCCAGGGAGUGGCGG